AACGAACGCUGGCGGCAUGCCUAACACAUGCAAGUCGAACGAGACCUUCGGGUCUAGUGGCGCACGGGUGCGUAACGCGUGGGAACCUGCCCUUAGGUUCGGAAUAACUCCCCGAAAGGGGUGCUAAUACCGGAUAAUGUCUUCGGACCAAAGAUUUAUCGCCUUUGGAUGGGCCCGCGUUGGAUUAGCUAGUUGGUAGGGUAAAAGCCUACCAAGGCGACGAUCCAUAGCUGGUCUGAGAGGAUGAUCAGCCACACUGGGACUGAGACACGGCCCAGACUCCUACGGGAGGCAGCGUUGGGAAAAUUGGAACAUGGGCCGAAGGCUUGUCCCAGCAUGGCCGGUGGAUGGAGGAGGGCUUAGGGUUGUAAAGCUCUUUUACCCGGGAUGAUAAUGACAGUACCGGGAGAAUAAGCUCCGGCUAACUCCGUG
rnacentral:rRNA from 1 species